GCGCCUGUGGCUCAAAGGGGUAGGGCGCUGGCCCCAUAUGCCAGAGGUGGUGGGUUCAAACCCAGCCCUGGCCA
rnacentral:tRNA from 1 species